AGCCCGCUCAGAAACUCAAAGGAAUUGACGGGGGCCCGCACAAGCGGUGGAGCAUGUGGUUUAAUUCGAUGAUACGCGAGGAACCUUACCUGGGCUCAAAUGUAUGUUGACGUAUUCUGAAAGGGAUACUUCUUCGGACAAUAUACAAGGUGCUGCAUGGUUGUCGUCAGCUCGUGCCGUGAGGUGUCGGGUUAAGUCCCAUAACGAGCGCAACCCCUAUCAUUAGUUGCCAUCAGGUCAAGCUGGGGACUCUAAUGAAACUGCCUACGCAAGUAGUGAGGAAGGUGGGGAUGACGUCAAAUCAGCACGGCCCUUACGUCCAGGGCUACACACGUGCUACAAUGGCCGGUACAAAGGGCAGCUACCUGGUGACAGGAUGCUAAUCUCAAAAGCCGGUCUCAGUUCGGAUCGGAGUCUGCAACCCGACUCCGUGAAGCUGGAAUCACUAGUAAUCGCGCAUCAGCCAUGGCGCGGUGAAUACGUUCCCGGGCCUU
rnacentral:rRNA from 1 species